rnacentral:rRNA from 1 species
GAUGAACGCUAGCGGCAGGCUUAAUACAUGCAAGUCGAGGGACAGCACAGGUAGCAAUACUGGGUGGUAACCGGCAAACGGGUGCGGAACACGUACACAACCUUCCUUUAAGUGGGGAAUAGCCCAGAGAAAUUUGGAUUAAUACCCCGUAAUAUAGUUGAAUGGCAUCAUUUGAUUAUUAUAGCUACGGCGCUUAAUGAUGGGUGUGCGGUUGAUUAGAUAGUUGGCGGGGUAACGGCCCACCAAGUCUACGAUCAGUAGCUGAUGUGAGAGCAUGAUCAGCCACACGGGCACUGAGACACGGGCCCGACUCCUACGGGAGGCAGCAGUAAGGAAUAUUGGUCAAUGGACGCAAGUCUGAACCAGCCAUGCCGCGUGAAGGAUUAAGGUCCUCUGGAUUGUAAACUUCUUUUAUUUGGGACGAAAAAGGGCCUUUCUAGGUCAACUGACGGUACCAGAUGAAUAAGCACCGGCUAACUCCGUGCCAGCCGCCGCCGUAAUAC